rnacentral:misc_RNA from 1 species
GUAUUCGUUCAAGGCCCUUAUAAUAAUAAGGCACAUAGCACAUUCAACAUUAAAAUCAGCGUGUAUGUAAAAAAUGAAGAGAGAAACCCAUAAAGAUUAAUCUCCCCUCAAAAGGUGCACAGGUGUUUGGAUAAAAAUUGUUGGAAGCAAGCACAUGCAAAAGUGUUUCCCACUUCGCCAGCAUCAAACUCCCAUUACAAUUCGUUAAUGAUCCUUCCGCAGGUUCACCUACGGAAA